GAUGAACGCUGGCGGCGUGCCUAAUACAUGCAAGUCGAGCGAACAGACGAGGAGCUUGCUCCUCUGACGUUAGCGGCUGAUGGGUGAGUAACACGUGGAUAACCUACCUAUAAGACUGGGAUAACUUCGGGAAACCGGAGCUAAUACCGGAUAAUAUAUUGAACCGCAUGGUUCAAUAGUGAAAGACGGUUUUGCUGUCACUUAUAGAUGGAUCCGCGCCGCAUUAGCUAGUUGGUAAGGUAACGGCUUACCAAGGCAACGAUGCGUAGCCGACCUGAGAGGGUGAUCCGCCACCCUGGAACUGAGACGCGGUCCAGCCUCCUACGGUAGGCAGCAGUAGGGAUUCCCCCGCAAUGGGCGAAAGCCUAACGGAGCAACCCCGCGCGAUUCAUGAAGGUCUCCGGAUCCUAAAACUCUGUUUUUAGGGAAGAACAACUGUCUCAGUAACUUUGCACUUCUUGACGGUACCUAACCAGAAAACCACGUCUAACUGCGUG
rnacentral:rRNA from 1 species